rnacentral:rRNA from 1 species
UACGAAGGGUGCUAGCGUUGUUCGGAAUUACUGGGCGUAAAGAGCGCGUAGGCGGUUAUACAAGUCAGAGGUGAAAAUCCCGGGAGCUUAACUCCGGAACUGCCUUUGAAACUGUAUAGCUGGAGUAUGUGAGGGGAUAGCGGAAUUCCUAAAUGUAGAGGUGAAAUUCGAUAGAUAUUAGGAGGAACACCGGUGGCGAAGGCGGCAUCCUGGACCAAUAUUGACGCUGAGGAGCGAAAGCCAGGGGAGCAAACGGG